AACUUACAGUCACUCCAGAGGGGGGGGAGGAAAAAAAAAAAAAGAACCCUUUCAUCACGUUGGGGUUUUCUUCGCUGUUUUGUUUCACUUAAGACAUCACUCAGGAGCAAAUGGGACAUGAUGUAUGUCUGCAUUCCUCGGCCUGAGGAAUUCUCGGUGUUCGGGUUUCGUUGCCUUUAAGUGACAGGAAGUAGCACUUCACCCUUAUUUUUGCAGUAUUGUCUGAGAAUUAACCACAACGUAAUGCAGGUACAGAAAAUUCGGAUGACGCAAAAGGGAGGGUGUGUUUGUCUUGGAAAGAGCUGAGCAUUGUACCUCUGGGACUGCUGGAAAGGCUCACCCUGAUAAACCUUCUCCAUAAAAGAAAUCUCCCAGGAGCUCUCAGGGAUUUGGGGAGCAGUGGGAUUUUUGAGACACCUGCUGGUGGAUGGUCCCUUUUCUUUGGAGGUCAGCUGUGCAUGGGUUUUGCUGCCCCAUCAGCUUUUCCUAGAAAAUCACAUGCUGAUCAUUGUGAAGAAGUUUUUCUAUGGAAAUCAUUACCUGAUCUCACUGUUUGGAGAUAAAAAGAGAUAAUUUUUUCCUGGAGAAAAGGAGGCUCA